GGAAAAUCGAGCUUAAUUGUAACUGCCGCCACCGAUUCGUUUCCUGCCAAUGUGCCGCCGGUUUUGCCGCCUACACGGCUGCCUGAGGAAUUCUACCCCGACCGCGUGCCCAUAACCAUUAUCGACACCUCUUCAAGAGCGUGGAGCUGACUAAUGAAGCUGUUGAAUUUUUGAAGGGAAUCUUCGAACUUUUUGACUCUGAUAGUGACAAUACCCUGCGGCCAACUGAAGUCGAUGAUCUGUUCUCUACAGCGCCCGAAUGGUAUUAUAAUGAUCAUUUUUUACUAAUUUCAAUAACUUAUCUACUUAUAGUAGAAAACCAUGUACUCGUCUGUUGGAUCAACAGGUCACUCAAAUUCUUCUGUUGUUCAUUUGAUUUGAUGAAUAUUAAGGAAUAGCUGUUGAAAAAUACUUCUUCAGAUGAUGAUAUAGAAUUAUUACUUAAUACAACAUGGUUAUCUGGGGAGAAAUAGGGAUUGCCACAUAAUAUUCUUGCUAGAUUGAAAGGACAUUCAAAAGAAGAGCCAAAGGGAUGGAUAGAAGAUUUGCCUUGUGCAAUGAAGUUGUAUGAGUCAGGAGUGAAGUUUAAGAGUGUUGAAAGAGAAUGCGUACUUGAGGUAAAAUUUGAAAAGCAAAAGCAGCGAAUCCCAUGCUUUAAUCUACAUGAGUUGCAAAUACCACAUUUCGAGGUGAAUUCAUGUACCGAACGUUUACUUAGGAACAUUUUAGCUUUUGAGCAGUGUCAUUAUCCGUUGGAUACUUGGUUUUGCAAUUACAUAAUGUUUUUGGAUUAUCUUAUUGAUACUGAAAAAGAUGUGGA